rnacentral:rRNA from 1 species
CCUGGUUGAUCCUGCCAGUAACAUAUGCUUGUCUCAAAGAUUAAGCCAUGCAGGUCUAAGUACACACGGCCGGUACAGUGAAACUGCGAAUGGCUCAUUAAAUCAGUUAUGGUCCCUUUGAUCGCUCCACCCGGUACUUGGAUAACUGUGGCAAUUCCAGAGCUAAUACAUGCAAACGAGCGCCGACCCUCCCUCACGGGCGGGGACGCGUGCAUUUAUCAGAUCCAAAACCCAUCCGGGGUCGGGGAUCCGUGCCUCGCCCCGGUCCCUUUGGUGACUCUAGAUAACCUCGGGCCGAUCGCGCGCCCUCUGCGGCGGCGACGACUCUUUCGAAUGUCUGCCCUAUCAACUUUCGAUGGUACUUUAGGCGCCUACCAUGGUGACCACGGGUAACGGGGAAUCAGGGGUUCGAUUCCGGAGAGGGAGCCUGAGAAACGGCUACCACAUCCAAGGAAGGCAGCAGGCGCGCAAAUUACCCAUUUCCGACUCGGAGAGGUAGUGACGAAAAAUAACAAUACAGGUCUCUUUCGAGGCCCUGUAAUUGGAAUGAGCGUAUCCUAAACCCAUGGGCGAGGACCCAUUGGAGGGCAAGUCUGGUGCCAGCAGCCGCGGUAAUUCCAGCUCCAAUAGCGUAUAUUAAAGUUGCUGCAGUUAAAAAAGCUCGUAGUUGGAUCUCGGGAGUGGGCUGGCGGUCCGCCGCGAGGCGAGCCACCGCCUGUCCCGGACCCUGCCUCCCGGCGCCCCCGGAUGCCCUUAACUGGGUGUCCGGUCACCUCGGGGCCCGGAGCGUUUACUUUGAAAAAAUUAGAGUGUUCAAAGCAGGCCGCCUGUCGCCGCUGAAUACCGCAGCUAGGAAUAAUGGAAUAGGACUCCGGUUCUAUUUUGUGGGUUUCUGGAACCCGGGGGCCAUGAUUAAUACUUGUUACUUCCAAACAAUUGAAACCUGGUUAGAGACAUGGAAUAAGCUCAUUAUAAUAGGGACACAGAAAAGCAUGACUGGACCGAACACUUGACUUGUGUUAGUCAAGUGUUCGGUUUUUUGUGUGUGUAUGUGUUCUGUUUUGCUCUCUCCCUUCCUCUCUUUCAAAUGCUGAUGACUAACAGAUCGAGUUCAGUUAGCUGAUGAUUCUGCUGACGAUGGCACUGUCCUGAUUGGUUCAUUAGAGAAAAUGUUUGGAGUUAAAAGGCAGAGCUGAGACGUCUGUGCUGUGGAGGCUUGGAGUAGGAGGUCUUUUUGUAGUUGGUCCUUAGCAUAGGUGGGUUGUGUUUAGGAGUUAGUAUGUUUUUGUUUAUGUUGGCCUUGACCCCUCCUGAAGCUCUGUUUGCUUCCUUGUGUUCAAUAAAUUUAAUUAUGAUUUGCAUGGAUUAUGGUUUUGUGUGAGUCAGUCGAAGGGGAAAGCUCCCUCCAUUCAUCCACCACUUUUUUAGUACUACUUCCCAUCCCUAAAAUGGGGAGGUAUGUAAACAAACACAUUAUGAUGAGGAAAAAUCAUUUCCCAACACAAGUUCAACCUUCACCAAAGGAAAAUGAAUGAUAAAAAGAAAUAAUAUGUUGGCUACAUAUGUUACUUUUACCUUUGAAUACAUUUUUUACUGAAUUUUGUUUUCAGUUUCAGCACCAUAAAUCUAACAUAUGCAUGUUGUAAAUAUAGAAAGGGGCAGAAAUAAACAAACUUUUCAGACAUUAAUGUGAUAACGGUUUAUUG